AAAAACUCAAUUGAAAUAAAAACAAAAUCAAGAGGAUAAUUUAUAAACAAAUCAAAUUAUUAAAACAGAGUUAAGGACUUGGAUUAAAUGCGCACAAACAAACAGGGACGAAAAAUGCAAAUGUCCUGAGUCCCAAAACGCAACGCUUAGGUGCGGACUAAAUUGAAUUUACGCCUAGAUUCCAGGGAUAAUUUAAAAAAAUCAAAGAAAAUACAAAGAGGGCUCAGUUGAACGUCACCACCAAAGGGAGGGACUAAUUGUGAAAAUAUUCCCUCUUAGAAAAACGCGCGGAUCCUCAUGGUAAUGGGUCAGGUUGCGCGGAUCUAGCGCCUAAAUGGCGCCGUUUUGAGGCCAUUGAAAUUGACCUAAAACGACGUCGUCUGUUUGACGUGCAAAAGCUAGCAAAAUUUCAGAAAAAAAAAAAAUUUCUUCUGCCCCCCAAAAAAAAACCUAAAACGUUCCAAAUGCUCUCAACCUCUUCAUCCGAGCGCCGAUUCCGACAAAAAAGGUCACUGUGGUGGCAAUGGACGAAACCCAGGUGAGAUUCUUGUUCCCUUUCCCCUUUCCCUUUUAUAUUUUCUACAUGCGGUAAAUGAAGAUCAGAGAAAUAGAAAUUAAAUUGAAAGAAAAGUGAGAUCCAAGAACACCUUUAAAACUGAUUUUUAAUGGCCCUCGUUUAUGUAUUCAAUCUCCUUUUUCUUUGUUUACAAUCGGCCUUAUAUAGCCAAAGCAAAAAAUGAAAAAUAUGAAAUUACAAUCAUUCUUUUUUUUCGUUAUUUCUCUGCUGCAUUUCCUGCUUUUGUCAUUUUUUGGCUUCUUCUCGUAGGUUCUACUGACGCGGGGAGUGCCAUAUGGAGGAAGAGGCCAUGGUGACGUGGAGGCCUGCUUCUAGGCUAGCUAGCUGCAGCGUAAGGGGAAGAAACCCUAGGGUUUCUGCUAAAAAAUAUCUUAGGCCUUUUGGGCCUUGUAUUUCUUUUGGUCUAGGUCUUAAGUUGGGGGUUUUGGGUGUAUGGGAUUUUGGGUUAGGCUUAUUUAAUUUAAUUUGGGCCAAAGUUUUUGUAAUCUGGACUGAUAUUUUACUUUAUUUUUGUUUUGGGCUAUUUUAAAAUGCUGGUGUAAAUGGACUUUUAUUUAUUGGUUUUUUGUUUUAAUUUAUUUUAUCUAUUUUUAGACAAUUUUAUGGGCCCGAGUGAAAUGGGUCUUCCACAACUAUUAUUACAAUUAUGUCUUUUAUUUACUCUUUUAGUACUAGAGUAUUAAGUUGACCAAAUUUAUAUUCGAAAAUCAAAAGCUUGAUUUUAUUUUUU
rnacentral:lncRNA from 1 species